rnacentral:rRNA from 1 species
GAUGAACGCUGGCGGCGUGCUUAAUACAUGCAAGUCGAACGGGGAUUUUGUAUUCGUACGAAAUCUUAGUGGCGAACGGGUGAGUAACGCGUUGGUGACCUGCCCCGAAGAGAGGGACAACAGUUCGAAAGGACUGCUAAUACCUCAUGUGGUCGUAAGGGUUAGAUAUCUUACGUCUAAACGGAGUAAUCCGCUUCGGGAGGGGCCUGCGUCCCAUCAGCUAGUUGGUAGGGUAAUGGCCUACCAAGGCGACGACGGGUAGGGGACCUGAGAGGGUGACCCCCCACACUGGCACUGAAACACGGGCCAGACACCUACGGGUGGCAG